GACGAACGCUUGCGGCGUGCUUAACACAUGCAAGUCGAACGGAAAGGCCCUGCUUUUGUGGGGUGCUCGAGUGGCGAACGGGUGAGUAACACGUGAGUAACCUGCCCUUGACUUUGGGAUAACUUCAGGAAACUGGGGCUAAUACCGGAUAGGAGCUCCUGCUGCAUGGUGGGGGUUGGAAAGUUUCGGCGGUUGGGGAUGGACUCGCGGCUUAUCAGCUUGUUGGUGGGGUAGUGGCUUACCAAGGCUUUGACGGGUAGCCGGCCUGAGAGGGUGACCGGCCACAUUGGGACUGAGAUACGGCCCAGACUCCUACGGGAGGCAGCAGUGGGGAAUAUUGCACAAUGGGCGGAAGCCUGAUGCAGCAACGCCGCGUGCGGGAUGACGGCCUUCGGGUUGUAAACCGCUUUCGCCUGUGACGAAGCGUGAGUGACGGUAAUGGGUAAAGAAGCACCGGCUAACUACGUGCCAGCAGCCGCGGUGAUACGUAGGGUGCGAGCGUUGUCCGGAUUUAUUGGGCGUAAAGGGCUCGUAGGUGGUUGAUCGCGUCGGAAGUGUAAUCUUGGGGCUUAACCCUGAGCGUGCUUUCGAUACGGGUUGACUUGAGGAAGGUAGGGGAGAAUGGAAUUCCUGGUGGAGCGGUGGAAUGCGCAGAUAUCAGGAGGAACACCAGUGGCGAAGGCGGUUCUCUGGGCCUUUCCUGACGCUGAGGAGCGAAAGCGUGGGGAGCGAACAGGCUUAGAUACCCUGGUAGUCCACGCUGUAAACGGUGGGUACUAGGUGUGGGGUCCAUUCCACGGGUUCCGUGCCGUAGCUAACGCUUUAAGUACCCCGCCUGGGGAGUACGGCCGCAAGGCUAAAACUCAAAGGAAUUGACGGGGCCCCGCACAAGCGGCGGAGCAUGCGGAUUAAUUCGAUGCAACGCGUAGAACCUUACCUGGGUUUGACAUGGAUCGGGAGUGCUCAGAGAUGGGUGUGCCUCUUUUGGGGUCGGUUCACAGGUGGUGCAUGGCUGUCGUCAGCUCGUGUCGUGAGAUGUUGGGUUAAGUCCCGCAACGAGUGCAACCCUUGUUCACUGUUGCCAGCACGUUAUGGUGGGGACUCAGUGGAGACCGCCGGGGUCAACUCGGAGGAAGGUGGGGAUGACGUCAAGUCAUCAUGCCCCUUAUGUCCAGGGCUUCACGCAUGCUACAAUGGCUGGUACAGAGAGUGGCGAGCCUGUGAGGGUGAGCGAAUCUCGGAAAGCCGGUCUCAGUUCGGAUUGGGGUCUGCAACUCGACCUCAUGAAGUCGGAGUCGCUAGUAAUCGCAGAUCAGCAACGCUGCGGUGAAUACGUUCCCGGGGCU
rnacentral:rRNA from 1 species